CAAGAUAUAGCUAAACACAGAUAAAGCAUCUCACUUACACCGAGAAGGUACCCGUGCAAACCGGGUUGUCUUGA
rnacentral:tRNA from 1 species